UACGGGGGGAGCAAGCGUUGUUCGGAUUUACUGGGCGUAAAGGGCGCGUAGGCGGCCUCUGCAAGUCGACUGUGAAAUCUCCGGGCUUAACCCGGAAAGGUCAGCCGAUACUGCAGGGCUAGAGUGCAGAAGGGGCAACUGGAAUUCUCGGUGUAGAGGUGAAAUUCGUAGAUAUCGAGAGGAACACCGGUGGCGAAGGCGGCCUUCUGGACAGUGACUGACGCUGAGACGCGAAAGCGUGGGGAGCAAACAGG
rnacentral:rRNA from 1 species